GGCGAGUGAGCGGCAAAGCUCAAAUUUGAAAUCUAGCACCUUCGGUGUUCGAGUUGUAAUUUGAAGAUGGUAACCUUGGGUUUGGCUCUUGUCUAUGUUCCUUGGAACAGGACGUCAUAGAGGGUGAGAAUCCCGUCUGAUGAGAUGCCCAUUCCUAUGUAAGGUGCUAUCGAAGAGUCGAGUUGUUUGGGAAUGCAGCUCUAAGUGGGUGGUAAAUUCCAUCUAAAGCUAAAUAUUGGCGAGAGACCGAUAGCGAACAAGUACAGUGAUGGAAAGAUGAAAAGAACUUUGAAAAGAGAGUGAAAAAGUACGUGAAAUUGUUGAAAGGGAAGGGCAUUAGAUCAGACUUGGUGUUUUACGAUUAUCUUCUCUUCUUGAGUUGUGCACUCGUAUUUCACUGGGCCAGCAUCGAUUCGGAUGGCAAGAUAAUGGCAGUUGAAUGUGGCUUCACUUCGGUGGAGUGUUAUAGCUUCUGCUGAUAUUGCCUGUCUGGAUCGAGGGCUGCGUCUUUUGACUAGGAUGCUGGCGUAAUGAUCUAAUGCCGCCCGUCUUGAA
rnacentral:rRNA from 1 species